rnacentral:rRNA from 1 species
AUAACAGUUAGAAAUGACUGCUAAUACCGCAUAAGACCACAAAGCCGCAUGGCUUAGUGGGAAAAACUCCGGUGGUAUGAGAUGGACCCGCGUCUGAUUAGGUAGUUGGUGGGGUAACGGCCUACCAAGCCGACGAUCAGUAGCCGACCUGAGAGGGUGACCGGCCACAUUGGGACUGAGACACGGCCCAAACUCCUACGGGAGGCAGCAGUGGGGAAUAUUGCACAAUGGGGGAAACCCUGAUGCAGCGACGCCGCGUGAGCGAAGAAGUAUUUCGGUAUGUAAAGCUCUAUCAGCAGGGAAGAAAAUGACGGUACCUGACUAAGAAGCACCGGCUAAAUACGUGCCAGCAGCCGCGGUAAUACGUAUGGUGCAAGCGUUAUCCGGAUUUACUGGGUGUAAAGGGAGCGUAGACGGCUGUGUAAGUCUGAAGUGAAAGCCCGGGGCUCAACCCCGGGACUGCUUUGGAAACUAUGCAGCUAGAGUGUCGGAGAGGUAAGUGGAAUUCCCAGUGUAGCGGUGAAAUGCGUAGAUAUUGGGAGGAACACCAGUGGCGAAGGCGGCUUACUGGACGAUGACUGACGUUGAGGCUCGAAAGCGUGGGGAGCAAACAGGAUUAGAUACCCUGGUAGUCCACGCCGUAAACGAUGACUACUAGGUGUCGGGAAGCAAAGCUCUUCGGUGCCG